UAGGGAAUCUUCCACAAUGGACGAAAGUCUGAUGGAGCAACGCCGCGUGAGUGAAGAAGGGUUUCGGCUCGUAAAACUCUGUUGUUAAAGAAGAACAUAUCUGAGAGUAACUGUUCAGGUAUUGACGGUAUUUAACCAGAAAGCCACGGCUAACUACGUACCAG
rnacentral:rRNA from 1 species